UGGCGGACGGGGUUUGGAUUCCCGGUGCUCCGCCUAUUUGGUCUGUUCGAUGGGCGUCUUGCCCUUGACCUUAGUGGCAGGGGGGCUGGAGCCCUUCCCUUGCCGUUUUGACUUGAAGGCUUGUGGGCCUGAGGUCUCCAUCAAGCGGUGUGGGGUAGAGUUCAUAACAGAACCUUCUCCACUGAGGCCGUUACUGUGGCAUUUAUCAUUGCCUAGAAAUCUUGGGAACGUUGAGAGUGUCCACCAUGACUCGUUCCCGUCCUGUUGGGAGAUAGUGUGAGGGUCAGCACGUAGGGGUGUUAGACUCCUGGUAGAACUGGGGAUCACCCAGGUAAAACGGUUUGAAUUGCCUGCUUUAGUAUGUC